AUGUCGCACUGCCUCCGCGUCUCGCCCUUCCUCGCGCCGCCGCCCCUCCUCGUCCGCCGGCCCCGCCGCGCGCGCUGCCGCCGCCACGCCCCGAGGCCCGUCCUAACCCUCGCGCGCCUCGACCCGCCCCCGCUGCUCCGCCUCAGGGUCUCCGACUCGAGCGACUGCCUCCCCAGCCACGGCCACGGCCACGACCACCACCGCCCGCCGCCGCUGCGGGCCCUGAUCGGCUCCCUGGCCUCCGUAUGGCGGGAGGGCCUCUUCCUCGUGCGCUGCUCCGCCUUCGCCGCCGUGCUCUCCGUCGCCGCCGCGCUCUCAUGGUACGCGCAGCACCGCGCGCGGGCCUUCGUCGAGGCGCGCCUCCUCCCGGCCGCCUGCGCCGCGCUCGGGGACUACCUCCAGCGGGAGGUGCGCGUCGGCGGCGCGCGCAGCGUCUCGCCGCUCGGGAUCACGCUCCACACCUGCUCCGUCGGCCCGCGCGCCGACGAGUUCUCCUGCGCCGAGGUGCCCGUCAUGAAGAUCAGGGUCAGGCCCUUCGCCAGCCUCAGGCGGGGGCGGGUCGUCGUCGACGCCCUGCUCUCCGACCCCACCGCGCUCGUCGCGCAGAGGAAGGAUUUCUCCUGGCUGGGCAUCCCCGCGCCGUCCGAGGAGGGGAAGCCCAAGAGGAACUCGUCGGAGGAGGGCAUUGAUUACCGUACCAAGACUAGGAGGCUCGCCAGGGAGAAGGCUGGGGGGCAGUGGGACGAGGAGAGGGACAGAGCCGCUAGGGAAUCUGCUCAAAGGGGAUACAUAGUUCCCAGUGGCCAAUCCACUUCACGUUCGGCUGACGAGAUGCUGGAGGAUGAUGGACCUGUCGGAAAUGGGAAGGCUAGUAGCCCACCCCUCUGUGCUGAUGAAAUGCACAGGAACGAUCGACACAUGGAUCCAGGCAUUAUUGACUCUAGCUCAAAGCAUGCGGAUUUGGAGAAAUCGUUUGGUGUGAAAUCGCGCAUCCCGGGCAUCAACUUCUGGUCUAGGAUGAUCCCGAACCCUACCAAGCGAAGGUACAGGAGAAAAGGUCACAGCAAGGUGGUAUCGGGCAUCGACAAUUCCUCUCAGGAAAGGAUCCUUCGGCGUAGUGCACAGGCUGCUGUGGCAUAUUUUGAAAACAUGGAUAGUGGUAAUCCUGAUAACUCAUCCCCUGGUUCUGGGAAUAAUUCAUCUAAAUGCACUUCAAAUGAUGCACCGAUUGUCAGCUCUGAUACGGCACCAGAGAAUUCUGGUGAAUUGCCACCAAAUAGUAGUCGUUGUCUGGACUGUCUAGGUGAAGGCAAAUCUGCAAGUGCAAUGCCAAUCAUCGAUGCAAAUGAUGUGUAUGCGGAGCAUUCUCAUAAUCAACAACCUAGCCAGCAUAGUUUGCAUCACUCCGAUAACAAAAUGUUGGUAUGCAACCAUUUGGAAGAUGUGCAGCAUGACGAGGGCAACUUGUACCAAGGCCACAUGUUGGAGGAAUUUGAGAGUCUUUCUGAAGAUAAUAUUGGUCGGUCAUUUUGGCCUUUGCAGGCAAAGGGCUCCCGUGUUAAUUUCAAUGCACCAUAUGCUUCUUUGGGUGUUGAAAUUCAAAAGUUGAAGUCGCGAUUUGCUAUCGGUCUUGAAGACGCCCCUGCUGGACUCGUAGAAGGGGUUGACCAGAUAAAUCCUGGUGGGGCUCAGCAUAUGCUUCCUAUCACACUGGAUUCUGUUUAUUUCAGUGGAGGGAACUUGAUGCUUCUAGGAUACGGUGAUCAGGAACCAAGGGAAAUGAAACAGGCUAAUGGACAUGUCAAGUUCAAAAACUCCUAUAAUCGUGUACAUGUGCAUGUCACUGGGAACUGCAUGGAGUGGAGACAAGAUCAAACUUCUCAAGGAGGGGGUUAUCUUUCUACAGAUGUCUUUGUUGACAUAGCGGAGCAAACAUGGCAUGCUAAUCUGAAUGUAGUCAAUGCUUUUGCUCCGCUGUUUGAGCGUAUCCUAGAAAUACCAGUUGUCUGGCACAAAGGAAGAGCAACUGGUGAGGUGCAUAUCUGUAUGUCGAAAGGUGAUAGUUUUCCGAGCAUUCAUGGCCAGCUUGAUGUGAAAGGCCUAGGUUUUCAGAUAUUAGAUGCUCCCUCAUCAUUUUCGGAAAUAGUGGCAACUCUGUCAUUCCGUGGUCAAAGAGUAUUUCUGCAUAAUGCAAGUGGUUGGUUUGGUGAUGUUCCGGUUGAAACUUCUGGCGAUUUUGGUUUAAAUCCUGAGGAUGGAGAGUUCCAUCUAAUGUGCCAGGUUCCGUCUGUUGAAGUUAACGCGCUUAUGAAGUCGGUGAAAAUGAAGCCUCUGAUGUUUCCGGUGGCUGGUGCUGUUACUGCUGUAUUUAAUUGUCAAGGACCUCUUGAUGCUCCUGUUUUUGUUGGAAGUGGGAUUGUCUCAAGGAAGUCCCUUUCAGUAUCUGGUAUGCCUCCAUCUGCAGCUUCUGAAGCUGUGAUUCAAAACAAGGAGGCUGGUGCAGUUGCUGCGUUUGAUCAUAUCCCUUUCUCUCAUGUAUCAGCGAAUUUCACUUUCAACCUUGACAACUGUGUUGCAGACUUAUAUGGUAUUAGAGCAUGCCUUUUGGAUGGUGGAGAAAUUCGAGGGGCUGGUAAUGCAUGGAUUUGCCCAGAGGGGGAAGGUGACGAUUCUGCUAUGGAUAUUAAUUUAUCUGGGAGCAUUUUACUUGAUAAGGUUUUGCAUCGGUACAUACCUGGAGGAAUUCAGCUGAUCCCACUGAAAAUUGGCGAGCUCAACGGAGAGACUAGACUUUCUGGCCCCCUUAUUAGACCGAAAUUUGAUAUCAAAUGGGCUGCACCAAAUGCAGAAGAUUCCUUUUCUGAUGCACGGGGCAAUAUUGUUAUUGCACAUGAUUAUAUCAUGGUUAACUCAUCAUCAGUUUCCUUUGACUUAAAUACUCGUAUUCAAACAUCAUAUAUUGAUGACUACUCGCUGUACAAGGAGAUGUAUCAAAUGAAAAAGAUUAUGCCACUAGUUGUGGAGAGUGUUGAUUUGGAUUUACGCAUGCGAGGCUUCGAAUUUGCUCAUAUAGCUUCUUCAAUACCUUUUGAUACACCAAGGCCAUUACAUUUGAAAGCAUCUGGAAGGGUGAAAUUUCAAGGAAAAGUGGUGAAACCUAGCCAGGUAGUUGAUGACAAGAUUUAUGGUGCUUUACAAAGUAUCAUGGACCAAAGUAAGCUUGAGAGUGAUGUGUCAAGGCUUGUUGGGGAGAUUUCUCUGUCAGGAAUAAAACUUAACCAACUCAUGCUGGCACCUCAGUCUACUGGUUUUCUUUCCUUGUCACGAGAUUCUGUGAUGUUAAAUGCUACCGGCAGGCCUGAUGAAAAGAUUUCCAUAGAAGUGAACGGGCCAUUGUUUUUUGGUACAAAUGAGGCCAUUCAAGAUGAGAGGCUUCUAUCAAUUUUCCUCCAAAAGGGGCAGCUGAAGUCUAAUAUAUGUUAUCAUCCUGAAAGUUUGACUAACUUGGAGGUUCGGAAUUUGCCACUUGACGAGCUGGAGCUUGCUUCAUUACGUGGAUUUGUUCAGAAGGCAGAAGUUCAGCUUAAUUUCCAGAAAAGAAGAGGUCAUGGUUUGUUGUCAGUGGUCCGUCCCAAAUUUAGUGGCGUGUUUGGUGAAGCACUUGAUAUAGCUGCUCGAUGGAGUGGUGAUGUUAUUACAAUGGAAAAGUCAAUCCUAGAGCAACCUAAUAGCAAGUAUGAGCUUCAAGGGGAGUAUGUGUUUCCAGGAACACGUGAUAGAUUUCCUAUGGAAAGUCAUGGUAAUGGGUUCAUACAGAAAGCAAUGGGAGGGCAUCUUGGUAGCAUUAUGUCUUCAAUGGGCAGGUGGAGGAUGAGACUAGAAGUUCCAGAUGCUGAAGUAGCUGAAAUACUUCCCCUGGCAAGACUUCUUUCACGAAGUACAGAUCCAGUUAUUCGUUCUAGAUCGAAGGAACUUUUCAUGCAAUGCUUGCAUUCUGUUGGGUUCAAUGCUGAAAGCCUACGUGACCAGAUAAAGGCAGUCGAAAUGUAUCACGACUGGUUGGAUGAUGAUACAAUUGAAGAUAUAACUCUUCCGGCCUUAGCUGAACUGAGAGGUUACUGGCGUGGUUCUCUUGAUGCCAGUGGAGGAGGGAAUGGAGAUACUAUGGCUGAUUUUGAUUUCAAUGGUGAAGAUUGGGAGUGGGGCACAUACAAGACACAGCGUGUUCUGGCAUCUGGUUCUUAUAGCAAUAAUGAUGGCCUGCGUCUUGAUAAGUUAUUUAUUCAGAAGGAUAACGCCACCCUUCAUGCUGACGGAUCAAUUCUUGGCCCGCUAACAAAUCUUCACUUUGCUGUUCUUAAUUUCCCAGUUGGUCUUAUACCAGCUCUAGUUCAGGCUCUAGAAUCAUCAACUACAGAUUCAAUUCACUUUCUGAGGCAAUGGGUGACACCAAUAAAAGGUAUUUUACACAUGGAGGGAGAUUUGAGAGGCACUCUUGCAAAACCAGAAUGUGAUGUUCAAAUUAGACUUCUUGAUGGCACCAUCGGAGGCAUUGAUCUGGGAAGAGCUGAAGUAUUGGCUUCUGUAACCCCAACAAGCCGUUUUGUUUUUGAUGCAAAUUUCGAACCAACUAUACAAAGUGGACAUGUAAACAUUCAAGGUAGUAUUCCUGUGACUUACGUCGACAGCAGCUCCACGGAGGAAAAUUUGGAAGCUGGAGAUGGUAAACAAGGUAUUAUAAGAAUCCCUGUUUGGGCGAAAGACAGAGGAUCAUCUAAUGAUAUCAGUGAAACAAGAAUCGUGAGGGACAAGCCAGAGGAUGGUUGGGAAUUUCAGUUAGCUGAAAGCCUAAAAGGUUUAAGUUGGAAUUUGCUAGAACCAGGUGAAGUGAGGGUAAAUGCAGACAUAAAGGAUGGUGGCAUGAUGUUGAUAACUGCACUUAGUCCUUAUGCAAACUGGCUUCAAGGCUAUGCUGAUGUGCUCCUUCAGGUUAAAGGCACCGUUGAUCAGCCUGUCGUUGAUGGGUCUGCAUCAUUUCACCGAGCAACUGUGACUUCUCCUUUCCUCCGGACGCCGCUUACAAAUUUCGCUGGCAAUGUUAAUGUUAUAUCCAACAGACUAUUCAUCAAUUCCAUGGAAAGCAGGGUUGGGAGGAAAGGAAAAUUGUCAAUGAAAGGGACGCUACCUCUGCAAAAUAGUGAGCCAUCAGCCAGUGAUAAGAUUGAGUUGAAAUGUGAAGUUCUGGAUAUACGAGCAAAAAAUGUUUUAAGUGGCCAAGUAGACAGCCAGCUGCAGGUUACAGGCUCAAUAUUGCGGCCAGAUGUCUCUGGGAUGAUCCGGUUAAGCCAUGGUGAAGCAUAUUUGCCUCAUGAUAAAGGCAAUGGUGCUGUGGCGACUAGGUUGGCUUCAAACAAGUCCAGCUAUCUUCUUGCUGGUUUUGGUCAAACAACCACUUCGCAAGAUGUCUCACGUUUCUUGGGUGCAUUGUCAACUUCGCCAGACAAAACAGAAAGGACUCUUGAGAAUGGAAGUUUUAAGCCAAACAUUGAUGCCCGACUCAAUGACUUGAAGCUCACGCUGGGACCAGAAUUAAGAAUUGUUUAUCCUUUAAUUCUGAACUUUGCUGUCAGUGGUGACCUUGAGCUUAAUGGCAUGGUACAUCUAAAGUACAUAAGACCGAAGGGUAUAUUAACAUUUGAAAAUGGUGAGGUCAACUUGGUAGCUACUCAGGUUAGACUUAAAAGUGACCAUUUAAAUGUAGCAAAGUUUGAGCCUGAUCUUGGUUUAGAUCCUGUUCUGGAUCUCGUCCUUGUUGGAUCUGAAUGGCAAUUCAAAAUCAUGAGUCGAGCCAGCAUGUGGCAAGAUAAUCUGGUUGUAACCUCGACUCGCUCUGUGGACCAGGAUGUUCUGUCACCUAGUGAGGCUGCAAAGGUUUUUGAGUCGCAGCUUGCGGAAUCGCUAUUGGAAGGUGACGGACAGCUUGCAUUCAAGAAGCUCGCAACUGCAACGCUAGAAACUUUGAUGCCAAGAAUAGAAGGCAAGGGUGAGUUUGGACAAGCACGUUGGCGGAUGGUUUAUGCUCCGCAGAUUCCGAGUUUGUUGUCUGUAGAUCCAACGGUUGAUCCACUCAAAUCACUGGCAAACAAUAUCUCUUUUGCUACGGAGGUCGAAGUGCAGCUUGGAAAACGCGUUCAGGCCUCUGUUGUGAGGCAAAUGAAAGAUUCAGAAAUGGCGAUGCAGUGGUCGCUGAUAUACCAGCUAACCAGUAGACUCCGUGUCAUCUUCCAAUCCACACCGUCCAAUCGGCUUCUCUUUGAGUACUCUGCAACGUCGCAGGAUUGA
rnacentral:rRNA from 1 species